rnacentral:rRNA from 1 species
UAAUCAUUUGUCUAUUAAUUGUAGACCUGUAUGAAUGGCAAAAUGAAAGUCUGACUGUCUCUUGUAGUGGAUCAAUUAAACUGAUCUCCUAGUUCAAAAGCUAGAAUACCAACACAAGACCAGAAGACCCUGUGAAGCUUUAAUUAAACCAUUAAAUCCAAUAAUGAAUACUUUCGGUUGGGGCGACCUUGGAAAAAGAAAAACUUCCAAAUACAGUGAUAUUCACACCAUUAAGGCUAACAAGCCCUUAAAAGAUCCAGUAUACCUGAAAAAUGAACUAAGUUACUCCAGGGAUAACAGCGCUAUCUUCUUCAAGAGCCCAUAUCAAAAAGAAGGUUUACGACCUCGAUGUUGGAUCAGGACAUCCUGGUGGUGCAGCCGCUAUCAAGGGUU